AGUAGUUCCUGGUCACGUGAUGAGGUAGCACCGACCUGCGAAGGUAUACAGUAGUUCCUGGUCACGUGAUGAGGUAGCACCGACCUGCGAUGGUAUACAGUAGUUCCUGGUCACGUGAUGAGGUCGCCCCCGCCUGCGAUGGUAUACAGUAGUUCCUGGUCACGUGAUGAGGUCGCCCCCGCCUGCGAUGGUAUACGUGUAGGGCCUUGGUCACGUGAUGAGGUAGCCCCGACCUGCGAUGGUAUACAGUAGUUCCUGGUCACGUGAUGAGGUAGCC